UACAGAGGUGGCGAGCGUUGUUCGGAUUUACUGGGCGUAAAGGGCGCGUAGGCGGCGCGGCGUGUCGGGUGUGAAAUCCAUGGGCCCAACCCAUGAAGUGCGCCCGAAACUGCCGCGCUGGAGUGCGGGAGGGGAGGUCGGAAUGCAGGGUGUAGCGGUGAAAUGCGUUGAUAUCCUGCAGAACACCGGUGGCGAAGGCGGACCUCUGGAACGCUACUGACGCUGAGGCGCGAAAGUCGGGGGAGCAAACAGGAUUAGAUACCCUGGUAGUCCCGACCCUAAACGGUGUGCACUUGGGGUGGGGGGAUUUCACCCCCCCCGUCCCGGAGCUAACGCGUUAAGUGCACCGCCUGGGGAGUACGGCCGCAAGGUUAAAACUCAAAGAAAUUGACGGGGGCCCGCACAAGCAGAGGAGCAUGUGGCUUAAUUCGAUGCAACGCGAAGAACCUUACCCGGGUUUGACAUGCAGCUGCACGGCCUAUGAAAGUAGGCCUCCUUCGAGGGUGCUGCACAGGUGCUGCAUGGCUGUCGUCAGUUCGUGCCGUGAGGUGUUUGGUUAAGUCCAGCAACGAACGCAACCCCUGUGUCCAGUUGCCAACAGGUAACGCUGGGAACUCUGGACAGACUGCCCGUUCACACGGGAGGAAGGUGGGGACGACGUCAAGUCAGUAUGGCCCUUACAUCCGGGGCUGCACACGUGCUACAAUGGCCGGUACAAAGGGAAGCGAUGCCGCGAGGCGGAGCCAAUCCCCAAAACCGGCCCCAGUUCGGAUCGGGGUCUGCAACCCGACCCCGUGAAGUCGGAUUUGCUAGUAACGGCGCAUCAGCUACGGCGCCGUGAAUACGUUCCCGGGCCU
rnacentral:rRNA from 1 species